rnacentral:rRNA from 1 species
AAGUUCAAUUUACCUUUAGGAAUUUAAAUAUAUUGUUUUAUAAAAAUUUAUGGAAUCAACUAAAAUAUUGAUAAGUAUUGGUUAGAGAAUAUAGGUGUUAGACUAAAGGGAAAAAGUACUGUCAAGGAAUGUUCAAAGAAGAGUUAAUAAAAGAUUUAGUAAUUAUAAAGUAGUGUACCUUGUGUAUCAGGGAGAAUUUAAGUAAGUUAAGUAUAUAAUAGACAUCUCGAAAUUAGAAAAGCUAAGUUCUUAAAAAGUUUCUGUAGAAAAAUAAUUUUUAAUAGGAAUUUAAAGGUGAAAUGCUAGAUGAGUCUUAUAAUAUCUAGUUUCCUAAAAAUGGAAUUUAAUUCUACUUAGGGUUUAAGGUAGGGCUUUAGGUUAACUGUAAGGGGGUAAAGCUCCUUAUAGAAAAAUUUAUAAUAGGUUAAUUUUUUAAUAAAAAAUAUUUUCUAGGCUUAGAAGUAGCAAUGAAUGUAAAGUGUUUCAACUGAUUUUUUAUGUUAGGGAAAAUUUUAUUAAUCUUUAAGUGAUAUUAGGAUAUUUGUGAGAAUUAAGAAUAUUAAGAAAUAAUGAUUUUAUUAGUAGAUAAGAUGAAUGUUGAAGAAAGAUAAAAAUAUAAUACUUGAAAUAAAUAUAAAUAAUGAUGGAGGUAGAAUAAAGGAAUUCGGCAAAAAUGUUCUUUGCCUGUUUAUCAAAAACAUGUCUACAUAGAGGAGAUAUAUGUGGUCCGGCCUGCUCACUGAGCCAGGAGACUUAAAGAGCCGCGGUAUUUUGACCGUGCAAAGGUAGCAUAAUCAUUAGUUCUUUAAUUGGGAACUUGUAUGAAUGGUUAAACAAAAGAAAUACUGUCUCUAUUUCUAAAAUUUGAAUUUAACUUUUAAGUGAAAAGGCUUAAAUUGGUCAAGGGGACGAUAAGACCCUAUAAAGCUUUAUAAAUAACUAGGGAUUUUUUGGGUUAUAAAGAUAAAAAAGAAUGCUAGAAGUUUAUUAUGUUGGGGCGACACGGAUAUAGAUUAAAGCAACUAUCAGGAAAAAACACAAUAAUUUUUGAAUUUUAUGAUCCUAAUUAAAGAUUAUAAGACUAAGUUACUUUAGGGAUAACAGCGUAAUUCUUUUUGAGAGUUCAUAUCGAAAAAAGAGUUUGCGACCUCGAUGUUGAAUCAUAAAAUCUUUAUAGUGCAGCAGUUAUAAAAGAGGGUCUGUUCGACCUUUAAAAUUUUACGUGAUUUGAGUUCAAACCGGUGUAAGCCAGGUUGGUUUCUAUCUCUUGAUGAGGUUAGGUGUUACUUUAGUACGAAAGGAUUAAGUAAUAGGAAUUGUUCUGAGAUUGUAAUUUGAUUAAUAUAAUCUAAUAUAACUAGGUUGAAGGAAAAAGAAAAUUAUAU